CCUACGGGGUGCAGCAGUGGGGAAUAUUGGACAAUGGGGGAAACCCUGAUCCAGCGACGCCGCGUGAGUGAAGAAGUAUUUCGGUACGUAAAGCUCUAUCAGCAGGAAAGAAAAUGACGGUACCUGACUAAGAAGCCCCGGCUAACUACGUGCCAGCAGCCGCGGUAAUACGUAGGGGGCAAGCGUUAUCCGGAUUUACUGGGUGUAAAGGGAGCGUAGACGGCAGCGCAAGUCUGGAGUGAAAUGCCGGGGCCCAACCCCGGAACUGCUCUGGAAACUGUGAAGCUGGAGUGCAGGAGAGGUAAGCGGAAUUCCUAGUGUAGCGGUGAAAUGCGUAGAGAUUAGGAAGAACACCAGUGGCGAAGGCGACUUACUGGACUGUAACUGACGCUGAGGCAUGAGAGCAUGGGGAGCAAACAGGAUUAGAUACCCCAGUAGUC
rnacentral:rRNA from 1 species